rnacentral:rRNA from 1 species
AUCGAACGCUGGCGGAAUGCUUUACACAUGCAAGUCGGACGGCAGCACGGACUUCGGUCUGGUGGCGAGUGGCGAACGGGUGAGUAAUGUAUCGGAACGUGCCCAGUCGUGGGGGAUAACGUAGUGAAAAUUACGCUAAUACCGCAUACGAUCUAUGGAUGAAAGCGGGGGAUCGCAAGACCUCGCGCGAUUGGAGCGGCCGAUAUCAGAUUAGGUAGUUGGUGGGGUAAAGGCCCACCAAGCCAACGAUCGGUAGCUGGUCUGAGAGGACGACCAGCCACACUGGAACUGAGACACGGUCCAGACGCCUACGGGAGGCAGCAGUGGGGAAUGUUGGACAAUGGGCGAAAGCCUGAUCCAGCCAUUCCGCGUGCAGGAUGAAGGCCCUCGGGUUGUAAACUGCUUUUGUACAGAACGAAAAGGUUUCUACUAAUACUAGAAGCUCAUGACGGUACUGUAAGAAUAAGCACCGGCUAACUACGUGCCAGCCGCCGCGGUAA